rnacentral:lncRNA from 1 species
GUGGCUUUUGAACGCUCCUGCAUUCAUCCUUUAUCCUGAGCAGCCCCUGGCCUCUCCCCUCCCAUUUAUUGCUCAGCCGCCCUCAUCACAAUCUCUCCCCAGUCUGCAAGGGAGCUGAUGGCUAUGAAUGAGAGCUAGGAAAGGAAGGAGGGGGGACAAAGACCCUCUGGUAACCAGAAAGACUCCUGAUUGUGGGUGAAGAGAUCUGAGGUUUGGUCUCUGGUGCCAUCACUCAUGAGGGAACCUUGGGUUCAUCUCUAGUCAGCUUCAGGUUCCCUUUCCAAGAGAGGAAGAAAGUCCAGCAGGAGCUUUGCCAGUUCUGACAUUCUCUCACGUGAAUACACACAGCUUGCGUGGCAGCAUUCUGGUUUCAUGUCUUAGUCACAAAGGUACUCCACUGUAUCAGAAUAUUUUCCUUGGCUGUGACCUCAGGCCAGGCCACAGGUCAGGACAGAAGAUAACACAGGGGGUUGUCAGAAGUCCCCAGGACCACUGAGGAAUGGAGAGAGCUAACCAACAGGGACAAAGUUCCAGAAGCAGCGAUCGUGACUCAUCUGGAUGUUAUGCUCCGUGAUGGUGACUAAUACGACCAAGGUCCACAGGUCAUGUGAGCAGAAAGUAUUUAAAUUCUAAAUUUGAAUGAUGUCAGUUUGCUCUAAAGCUGCUAUUGUUUUGUUUUUUGUUUUGUUUGAAACAGAUAUUCCUGUAGCUCAGGCUAUCCUCAAACUCAUUACAUAGCCAAGGAUGACCUUGCACUUCUGAUUCGCCUGUCUCUAUUUCCCAAGUGCUGGGAUUACAGCCCUGCUGUGCAAAUACUCUACCAUCUAAACUAUAUCCACAGCCAAAAGUCUCUGUUCUUUGAACUAUUUACUAUCUUCUAAAUCUAGCUUUCCUCGUCUCCUUUUUUCUCAUUCUGAACACAAACAUAAGGUCAUUCCUAUCUUCAGAUUAUGUCCCCUUUGGACCCUUGAAUGGGUCUCUCCAAUCAGAUGUCCCUGAAAUAAAGGCUUGAUAGCAGACCUUCCUGUUAAGAGU